GUUCUGAACAGUGCUUUAAGCAUAAGCUAUUGUGCCUAACCCUACCUGACUGAAAAUUUCAUUCGUUAAGAUUCCACACGGGCGCACUGUUACAAAACUUAUGGAGAGAGGCAACAGCCCCUUCGACCGGCGGCAAUACUGCGGCAAGAUCAGUCUCAAUAACAGUUGAGACAGAAGCAGCAACUGCAAAGUUCAUCAAGGUCGCCUGCAAGAACAGAGCCUGCUCGCGGAACGCAAGUAAUGCAAGUUAAAAUUAUUAUUAUUAUUGAUAUAAUGUUAAAGUUUUCAACAUUCCUUCUAAAAAACGAAACAAUAGUACAUUUAAUAUUGGCUAAUAUUACUGCUGCGGCUAAGAAGGUAAUAUUACAACUCCCUCGAGUGCAAGAAGGUACAUUUUUCUAUAAAAUUAUUGAUUAUUAACAAACAUUGACUCUAAAAAGUUUCCAUUAGAUUUGACUAUACUUUUCAACUAUUAUCAAUAAUUCAGAAAUAGUCCUCAACAGAAUUUAAAAAGUUGUCUCGACUACCAAAAAGUAAUUGAAACAACUAUGAAUGUAGUUGGUGCAAUAAGAUUUUUUUUCGCAUUUUAACAUUCUUUCUCAGAAUAUAAAAUAGAGCUCGAUUUAUUUACUUUUAUUUACUAAUGCUGAUGCAG